UAAAGGAAUAAAUCCAGCCAAACCAAACUCUGUAGUACUCUUCACACUUCACAGGCCUAAUUCCUAUAAAUACUUGGAUGAUUAUAGCCCCAAAACAAGCCUAAACAAAACCAUCAAUAUUGUCUUAAUCUCUGCAAUCUGCAUGACAACUUCCAAAGGUGCUCUUCCACACUACGCCCCCAAGGCCCUACCAGGGUCAGCCAACCAAUCAAACCUGCUUCCAACAGACACAGUCUUCGCCUUCCAAGCCAUUAUACCUUCAUUCUCCAACAAUGGAAAAUGCGAAACGACUCACAAAUACAUCACCUUAGGUGUCAUUGUACUAUUUUCACUUGCUUGCUUCUUCUCAUCUUUCACUGACAGCUUUGUGCGCAAGGAUGGCAAGCUUUACUAUGGUAUUGCCACAAUCAAUGAACUUGGGUUUUCAACGAUGAGGAUGAUGAUGAUCUCGACUUGGAUAAAAACCAGGAAGAAGCUGAGAAAAUGCUAAAGAAGGGCCUAAUGGUAAUGCAUCGAAGACAAAUUUUCCAUUAGCAGCUGGGAUUUUGGCCAGUGGGUUGUUCAUGCUUUUCCCAACUAAACGAAGAGGAUUCGGUAUGCUGACAAGCCCGAUCAUGGCAAUAGAAACGAAGAGAAACAAACCCAGGAAAUAGCUAACAAGGAGCCCCUGCCAAACCCUAAAUGAGCCAUUCACAAGGAAGAGAUCUAAGACUAAGAGACUUGCAGAUUGGAAAUAAAUUAUCGUAAUUAUAAUUACAAAGUCUCUAUCUUUAAGUAUCAGUUAGUACAGCAUGGUUUAAUGGA